rnacentral:piRNA from 1 species
UGGUGAUUCCUUCUCUUGGAUGUAUCCCGA